rnacentral:tRNA from 1 species
UCCGCGGUAGCUCAAUGGUGGAGCGGCUCGCUGUUAACGAGUAGGUUGAAGGUUCGAGUCCUUCCCGCGGAG